rnacentral:rRNA from 1 species
AACUAACGCUGGCGGCGUGCCUAACACAUGCAAGUCGUACGAGAAAGUUGGCUUCGGCCGAUGAGUAAAGUGGCGCACGGGUGAGUAAUGCGUGGAUAAUCUGCCCUUUAGUUGGGAAUAACGUACCGAAAGGUGCGCUAAUACCUGAUAAUACUGCAUAACUACUGUUGUGUAGUCAAAGAAGGCCUCUGUUUACAAGCUUUUGCUGAAGGAUGAGUCCGCGUACCAUUAGCUGGUUGGUGGGGUAAUGGCCUACCAAGGCUACGAUGGUUAGCUGGUCUGAGAGGAUGAUCAGCCACACUGGAACUGAGACACGGUCCAGACUCCUACGGGAGGCAGCAGUGAGGAAUAUUGCGCAAUGGGGCAACCCUGACGCAGCAACGCCGCGUGAGUGAGGAAGGUUUUCGGACCGUAAAGCUCUGUCGAGGCGGGAAGAAAUGUAUCAUGGCUAAUAUCCAUGAUACUGACGGUACCGCUAAAGGAAGCGACC